GGGGAUAUAGCUCAGCUGGAAGAGCGCCUGCUUUGCAAGCAGGAGGUCGUCGGUUCAAGUCCGUCUAUCUCCA
rnacentral:tRNA from 1 species